GUGAGCGUAGCUCAGUUGGUAGAGCCCCGGAUUGUGGCUCCGGUGGUCGGGAGUUCGAAUCUCCUCGCUCACC
rnacentral:tRNA from 1 species